CCUUAGUGGCGCACGGGUGAGUAACGCGUGGGAACCUACCCUGGAGUGGGGAAUAACUACUGGAAACGGUAGCUAAUACCGCAUAAUCCCUGAGGGGGAAAGGCUUCGGCCGCUCUUGGAUGGUCCCGCGUCCGAUUAGCUUGUUGGUAGGGUAACGGCCUACCAAGGCGACGAUCAGUAGCUGGUCUGAGAGGAUGAUCAGCCACACUGGGACUGAGACACGGCCCAGACUCC
rnacentral:rRNA from 1 species